UGUAACCAUGGUGACUGUGAAAAACUGUUCACAUUUUUUUAAUGUUUCAGGGGUUAAACCUCAAAGUGUUUCCUGGGGGAGAGUGCUUCCAGCCAGAGGUGUGGGCACCGGUGGCGUGAAACCUGGAGUUACUGGUGCCCUUGGAGCACUGGGUAGCCGAUAUGGCAGCAAAGCAAUGAAGACUGGAAGUAGGUUUAAUCUGCUUGAUUUUCUGCCUCUUAUAUCUCUCUAACUAUACAGAGGGGAUAUUUAAACUUUUACUUUUUUAAAUAUUUCAGUUGGACGUUAUCCUGCAGCCCAGCUUGGUGUUGGUGAGUAAAUUAAACCUGCAAAAACAAUUUCUCCUGUUUAAAAGGGAUCCAUCACACAGUUUUUAGAAAUGUUUUUGACUAUGAUAUUAUUUGGGAUUUACUAUGAAAAGAAAAAUUCUGUUGACACACCUGGUUUUAAAAAAAUAAAGGUUAACUAUACUCUGUAUAUGUAUUAUGUUCAUUGUGCCCUCAGGAGGUUACAGAUCUCUUGGAUUAGGAGGAAGAGCAGGUCUGAAGCAAGGUGGAUAUGGAAACCAGGGAGCCUAUGGUACACACUCAAACCCUCGCAGCAUACUUUUUCAUUGUUUUUUCUUGGAUGUGGUCAGUCUAGUUCGUGAAAUAAAUAACAGUUUAUUAAAAAUGUUAAAUGUUAUGAUACAUUUUCCCUGUGACUUUAGGUGCCAGUCUGGGCCCAGGAAUGGGGCUGGGGGCUGGGCUCACAAACGGACUGGGACUGGGAUUGGGCCAGGGAGGAAAACGUGCUUAUGGUGCUGGCUUGGGAACACUUCCAGGAUAUGGAUCUUUAGGGGGCACUGGCUAUCCUGCAGCACGACCAGGUGUGUCUGCAGAACAUUUGGUUGGACCUGAGAUGGCCAGUCAGGGCCAAGCUGUUCAAGAUCUUAAACGAGAAAAAAUCAGAGGUCUAGACUCGUUUGGAAAGCAGGGCCGAAUGCACGCACCUGAAAUAUCUGACAUGAGGAAGGGCAGUACACUCGGUCCCACCACUCCUGAACUACAUGCAGGAAAGGAGGUCAAAAGCUGUGAUCCAACAGUCCUGUCAUCAAGUCUUGGACACACAACACCUACUGACCAAGGACAAAGUAAGCACCCUGCAAUACCCAAAAGAAAAGUGGCCCCAAAUCAUGAAGCCAUUUUGGGAGCUGGAGGUCCGAGAAGACAACUGCCUGUUGAUAAAGACAACAUCCAAAGUCUGGGUUCUUAUUCAUCUCAGAGUGCCCGAGACUAUGAUUCAUCCAAACGUGAAAGUCAGCGAGUGGAAAACUGUGGUUCCCCUAUUGAUUUGUCUGAUGUACUAGAAAACAGUCGCUUAGGUUCAGGAAUUCAAAAGGGUCAAAGUUCAGUGCCUCAGCCGCAUGUUGGUGAAGAACUCAGACAUCUUGGUAGCACCACGUCACAAAAAGAAAAAGACAAAACCUCUCGACUACCUUUUUCAGAAGCUGAGGAUGUAAGAAGACGUAUUUACGCUACUCCACUGGAUCAGAGAAUAAGAGAUUAUUUCUCUGCUGUGGCAGAUAGGCAGCGCGUCAAAGGACUUUUAGCUGAAAACGCAAAUGGAAUCAGAAUCCGUGGGACUGUUACGGUACAAGAUGGCAGAUAUAGUACUGCAAACCUUCCAGCAAAAGGAGGAAGGCGCUAUGGAGCAGUGAUCCCAGGUACUAGUGGAACCCUAAGUGUAGGCAUUGCCUCUAAUAGAGCAGAUGGACAGGAAGCUCCAGGCUUUAUUGGAGAUGGUCAGAGUGCUAAACAGAAUUCCCAAACUGAACAUGAUGUCAGAAAGCCAAAAGCCCUCCCUAUCCCAGGGCAGACUGGGAGGAAUGCCCAGACUCCAAGUAAGAGCAAAGCUUUUUCACCAUCUAAAUGUCUUUUUUGA
ensembl:lncRNA